GUGGGGAAUUUUGGACAAUGGGGGCAACCCUGAUCCAGCCAUGCCGCGUGAGUGAAGAAGGCCUUCGGGUUGUAAAGCUCUUUCGGACGGGACGAAAUGGUUAUGGUGAAUAACUGUGACUGAUGACGGUACCGUAAUAAGAAGCACCGGCUAACUACGUGCCAGCAGCCGCGGUAAUACGUAGGGUGCGAGCGUUAAUCGGAAUUACUGGGCGUAAAGCGUGCGCAGGCGGUUCGCCAAGUCAGGUGUGAAAUCCCCGGGCUUAACCUGGGAAUUGCGCUUGAAACUAGCGGGCUUGAGUGUGGCAGAGGGGGGUGGAAUUCCACGUGUAGCAGUGAAAUGCGUAGAGAUGUGGAGGAACACCGAUGGCGAAGGCAGCCCCCUGGGUCAACACUGACGCUCAUGCACGAAAGCGUGGGGAGCAAACAGGAUUAGAAACCCUGGUAGUCC
rnacentral:rRNA from 1 species